CUGCAAUGUACUUUACUUGGGCUUCUCAGAAAAAGAACUCCAUCGCCUUCAGACUGUACAAAAUGCAGCAGCCGGACUACUGACCAAUCAAACUCGCUCAUGCCACAUAACACCUGUUCUCCACUCUCUGCAUUGGCUUCCAAUUAAAUGGCAAACAUGUUUUAAAAUUUGCCUGCUAACCUUCAAAGCCUUAAACAAUCAAGACCCACAGUACCUGAAAGAGCUCCUGAGUCCUGACACCCUACAUUCCAUCCCGAUCACUUCGGUCAGCCAGCAAAACCCUCCUGUUCGUGCCAAGAAUAAAGACAGACUUAGGUUCCAUGGCAUUCAGCC